rnacentral:rRNA from 1 species
CAAUAGCGUAUAUUAACGUUGUUGCAGUUAAAAAGCUCGUAGUUGGAUUUCUGGAGGGAGCGUCGGCCCGUAUUUACGAGUGCGUGACGUCUCUGUCCAUCCUUGCGGGAAGGCACGGCAUUGAUUUGUUGUGUCGGAUCGCAUCAUUUACUGUGAAAAAAUUAGAGUGUUCAAAGCAGGCUUUCGCUUGAAUACAUUAGCAUGGAAUAAUAUGAUAGGACUUUGGUGCUAUUUUGUUGGUUGAGCCUAAAGUAAUGAUUAAUAGGGAUAGUUGGGGGCACCUGUAUUGCGUUGUCAGAGGUGAAAUUCUUGGAUUUACGCAAGACAAACAGCUGCGAAAGCGUCUGCCAAGGAUGUUUUCAUUAA